AUUGAACGCUGGCGGCAGGCCUAACACAUGCAAGUCGAACGAGUGGCGGACGGGUGAGUAAUGUGUGGGAAAAUCCCCGAUGGAGGGGGAUAACUACUGGAAACGGUAGCUAAUAUCGCAUACCAUCGGAUGUGCCCCGAUGGGGUGAGAUAGUAGGUGGGGUAACGGCUCACCUAGGCGACGAUCCCUAGCUGUGCUGAGAGGAGAACCAGCCACACUGGAACUGAGACACGGUCCAGACUCCUACGGGAGGCAGCAGUGGGGAAUAUUGCACAAGGGGCGCAAGCCUGAUGCAGCCAUGCCGCGUGUAUGAAGAAGGCCUUCGGGUUGUAAAGUACUUUCAGCGAGGAGGCGUUACUCGCAGAAGAAGCACCGGCUAACUCCGUGCCAGCAGCCGCGGUAAUAC
rnacentral:rRNA from 1 species